CAGUCGAGCGGUAGCACAGAGAGCUUGCUCUCGGGUGACGAGCGGCGGACGGGUGAGUAAUGUCUGGGAAACUGCCUGAUGGAGGGGGAUAACUACUGGAAACGGUAGCUAAUACCGCAUAAUGUCGCAAGACCAAAGUGGGGGACCUUCGGGCCUCAUGCCAUCAGAUGUGCCCAGAUGGGAUUAGCUAGUAGGUGGGGUAACGGCUCACCUAGGCGACGAUCCCUAGCUGGUCUGAGAGGAUGACCAGCCACACUGGAACUGAGACACGGUCCAGACUCCUACGGGAGGCAGCAGUGGGGAAUAUUGCACAAUGGGCGCAAGCCUGAUGCAGCCAUGCCGCGUGUGUGAAGAAGGCCUUCGGGUUGUAAAGCACUUUCAGCGGGGAGGAAGGCGUUAAGGUUAAUAACCUUGGCGAUUGACGUUACCCGCAGAAGAAGCACCGGCUAACUCCGUGCCAGCAGCCGCGGUAAUACGGAGGGUGCAAGCGUUAAUCGGAAUUACUGGGCGUAAAGC
rnacentral:rRNA from 1 species